AGGGUUCACCCGUCUCUGUGUGCUCUCUACAAAGGCUCUGAUACCCAGGAGGUGCCUGUUGUACCGCAUGUCUGGAGCGGAGCUUCUAGAUUCACGUCUGGAAGCAGGCUUGAGUUUACCGUGACCACUGAGAAUGUUCCAGACAAACCAACCAGAACUUCCCCAGCCAACACAGCAUGAAGAGAGGUUAGCUGUCCCCUCCCUUCACAGCCCAGCUCACCAACUCCAUCCUGUCCCCGCAUCUGGCAAGAGGACCCACCUGCUGGCCUGGAGCCCAGGAAGCCGGCUCAGUCUGGAGGGCUUGCACCAAGUGGAUCCUUUUUACAACGCCCACCAGGGUCUGAGACUCUAACAAGUACAGAGGGAGGAACGCGUUACGAACAUAGAACAUUGUAAAUUUGUUUAAAAUCUGAGUCAGGUCAAUGAAAAAAUGAACCCUGAGGUACACUCCAAUCUGAGAUCCUAC